UGGGUAGGGGAGCGUUCUGUAAGCCUGUGAAGGUGGCCUGUGAGGGUUGCUGGAGGUAUCAGAAGUGCGAAUGCUGACAUAAGUAACGAUAAAGCGGGUGAAAAGCCCGCUCGCCGGAAGACCAAGGGUUCCUGUCCAACGUUAAUCGGGGCAGGGUGAGUCGACCCCUAAGGCGAGGCCGAAAGGCGUAGUCGAUGGGAAACGGGUUAAUAUUCCCGUACUUGGUGUUACUGCGAAGGGGGGACGGAGAAGGCUAUGUUGGCCGGGCGACGGUUGUCCCGGUUUAAGCGUGUAGGUGUGUGUUCCAGGUAAAUCCGGUUCACUUUAACACUGAGGCGUGAUGACGAGGCACUACGGUGCUGAAGCAACAAAUGCCCUGCUUCCAGGAAAAGCCUCUAAGCAUCAGGUAACAUCAAAUCGUACCCCAAACCGACACAGGUGGUCAGGUAGAGAAUACCAAGGCGCUUGAGAGAACUCGGGUGAAGGAACUAGGCAAAAUGGUGCCGUAACUUCGGGAGAAGGCACGCUGACACGUAGGUGAAGUGAUUUACUCAUGGAGCUGAAGUCAGUCGAAGAUACCAGCUGGCUGCAACUGUUUAUUAAAAACACAGCACUGUGCAAACACGAAAGUGGACGUAUACGGUGUGACGCCUGCCCGGUGCCGGAAGGUUAAUUGAUGGGGUCAGCGCAAGCGAAGCUCCUGAUCGAAGCCCCGGUAAACGGCGGCCGUAACUAUAACGGUCCUAAGGUAGCGAAAUUCCUUGUCGGGUAAGUUCCGACCUGCACGAAUGGCGUAAUGAUGGCCAGGCUGUCUCCACCCGAGACUCAGUGAAAUUGAACUCGCUGUGAAGAUGCAGUGUACCCGCGGCAAGACGGAAAGACCCCGUGAACCUUUACUAUAGCUUGACACUGAACAUUGAGCCUUGAUGUGUAGGAUAGGUGGGAGGCUUUGAAGCGUGGACGCCAGUCUGCGUGGAGCCGACCUUGAAAUACCACCCUUUAAUGUUUGAUGUUCUAACGUGGACCCGUAAUCCGGGUUGCGGACAGUGUCUGGUGGGUAGUUUGACUGGGGCGGUCUCCUCCUAAAGAGUAACGGAGGAGCACGAAGGUUGGCUAAUCCUGGUCGGACAUCAGGAGGUUAGUGCAAUGGCAUAAGCCAGCUUGACUGCGAGCGUGACGGCGCGAGCAGGUGCGAAAGCAGGUCAUAGUGAUCCGGUGGUUCUGAAUGGAAGGGCCAUCGCUCAACGGAUAAAAGGUACUCCGGGGAUAACAGGCUGAUACCGCCCAAGAGUUCAUAUCGACGGCGGUGUUUGGCACCUCGAUGUCGGCUCAUCACAUCCUGGGGCUGAAGUAGGUCCCAAGGGUAUGGCUGUUCGCCAUUUAAAGUGGUACGCGAGCUGGGUUUAGAACGUCGUGAGACAGUUCGGUCCCUAUCUGCCGUGGGCGCUGGAGAACUGAGGGGGGCUGCUCCUAGUACGAGAGGACCGGAGUGGACGCAUCACUGGUGUUCGGGUUGUCAUGCCAAUGGCACUGCCCGGUAGCUAAAUGCGGAAGAGAUAAGUGCUGAAAGCAUCUAAGCACGAAACUUGCCCCGAGAUGAGUUCU
rnacentral:rRNA from 3 species